rnacentral:rRNA from 1 species
GGGUUGUGAGGAUAAGCGACUAAGCGUACACGGUGGAUGCCCUGGCAGUCAGAGGCGAUGAAGGACGUGCUAAUCUGCGAUAAGCGUCGGUAAGGUGAUAUGAACCGUUAUAACCGGCGAUUUCCGAAUGGGGAAACCCAGUGUGAUUCGUCACACUAUCAUUAACUGAAUCCAUAGGUUAAUGAGGCGAACCGGGGGAACUGAAACAUCUAAGUACCCCGAGGAAAAGAAAUCAACCGAGAUUCCCCCAGUAGCGGCGAGCGAACGGGGAGCAGCCCAGAGCCUGAAUCAGUGUGUGUGUUAGUGGAAGCGUCUGGAAAGGCGCGCGAUACAGGGUGACAGCCCCGUACACAAAAAUGCACAUGCUGUGAGCUCGAUGAGUAGGGCGGGACACGUGGUAUCCUGUCUGAAUAUGGGGGGACCAUCCUCCAAGGCUAAAUACUCCUGACUGACCGAUAGUGAACCAGUACCGUGAGGGAAAGGCGAAAAGAACCCCGGCGAGGGGAGUGAAAAAGAACCUGAAACCGUGUACGUACAAGCAGUGGGAGCCUCUUUUAUGGGGUGACUGCGUACCUUUUGUAUAAUGGGUCAGCGACUUAUAUUCUGUAGCAAGGUUAACCGAAUAGGGGAGCCGAAGGGAAACCGAGUCUUAACUGGGCGUUAAGUUGCAGGGUAUAGACCCGAAACCCGGUGAUCUAGCCAUGGGCAGGUUGAAGGUUGGGUAACACUAACUGGAGGACCGAACCGACUAAUGUUGAAAAAUUAGCGGAUGACUUGUGGCUGGGGGUGAAAGGCCAAUCAAACCGGGAGAUAGCUGGUUCUCCCCGAAAGCUAUUUAGGUAGCGCCUCGUGAAUUCAUCUCCGGGGGUAGAGCACUGUUUCGGCAAGGGGGUCAUCCCGACUUACCAACCCGAUGCAAACUGCGAAUACCGGAGAAUGUUAUCACGGGAGACACACGGCGGGUGCUAACGUCCGUCGUGAAGAGGGAAACAACCCAGACCGCCAGCUAAGGUCCCAAAGUCAUGGUUAAGUGGGAAACGAUGUGGGAAGGCCCAGACAGCCAGGAUGUUGGCUUAGAAGCAGCCAUCAUUUAAAGAAAGCGUAAUAGCUCACUGGUCGAGUCGGCCUGCGCGGAAGAUGUAACGGGGCUAAACCAUGCACCGAAGCUGCGGCAGCGACGCUUAUGCGUUGUUGGGUAGGGGAGCGUUCUGUAAGCCUGUGAAGGUGUACUGUGAGGUAUGCUGGAGGUAUCAGAAGUGCGAAUGCUGACAUAAGUAACGAUAAAGCGGGUGAAAAGCCCGCUCGCCGGAAGACCAAGGGUUCCUGUCCAACGUUAAUCGGGGCAGGGUGAGUCGACCCCUAAGGCGAGGCCGAAAGGCGUAGUCGAUGGGAAACAGGUUAAUAUUCCUGUACUUGGUGUUACUGCGAAGGGGGGACGGAGAAGGCUAUGUUGGCCGGGCGACGGUUGUCCCGGUUUAAGCGUGUAGGCUGGUUUUCCAGGCAAAUCCGGAAAAUCAAGGCUGAGGCGUGAUGACGAGGCACUACGGUGCUGAAGCAACAAAUGCCCUGCUUCCAGGAAAAGCCUCUAAGCAUCAGGUAACAUCAAAUCGUACCCCAAACCGACACAGGUGGUCAGGUAGAGAAUACCAAGGCGCUUGAGAGAACUCGGGUGAAGGAACUAGGCAAAAUGGUGCCGUAACUUCGGGAGAAGGCACGCUGAUAUGUAGGUGAAGUCCCUCGCGGANGAACUAGGCAAAAUGGUGCCGUAACUUCGGGAGAAGGCACGCUGAUAUGUAGGUGAAGCGACUUGCUCGUGGAGCUGAAAUCAGUCGAAGAUACCAGCUGGCUGCAACUGUUUAUUAAAAACACAGCACUGUGCAAACACGAAAGUGGACGUAUACGGUGUGACGCCUGCCCGGUGCCGGAAGGUUAAUUGAUGGGGUCAGCGCAAGCGAAGCUCUUGAUCGAAGCCCCGGUAAACGGCGGCCGUAACUAUAACGGUCCUAAGGUAGCGAAAUUCCUUGUCGGGUAAGUUCCGACCUGCACGAAUGGCGUAAUGAUGGCCAGGCUGUCUCCACCCGAGACUCAGUGAAAUUGAACUCGCUGUGAAGAUGCAGUGUACCCGCGGCAAGACGGAAAGACCCCGUGAACCUUUACUAUAGCUUGACACUGAACAUUGAGCCUUGAUGUGUAGGAUAGGUGGGAGGCUUAGAAGUGUGGACGCCAGUCUGCAUGGAGCCGACCUUGAAAUACCACCCUUUAAUGUUUGAUGUUCUAACGUUGACCCGUGAUCCGGGUUGCGGACAGUGUCUGGUGGGUAGUUUGACUGGGGCGGUCUCCUCCUAAAGAGUAACGGAGGAGCACGAAGGUUGGCUAAUCCUGGUCGGACAUCAGGAGGUUAGUGCAAUGGCAUAAGCCAGCUUGACUGCGAGCGUGACGGCGCGAGCAGGUGCGAAAGCAGGUCAUAGUGAUCCGGUGGUUCUGAAUGGAAGGGCCAUCGCUCAACGGAUAAAAGGUACUCCGGGGAUAACAGGCUGAUACCGCCCAAGAGUUCAUAUCGACGGCGGUGUUUGGCACCUCGAUGUCGGCUCAUCACAUCCUGGGGCUGAAGUAGGUCCCAAGGGUAUGGCUGUUCGCCAUUUAAAGUGGUACGCGAGCUGGGUUUAGAACGUCGUGAGACAGUUCGGUCCCUAUCUGCCGUGGGCGCUGGAGAAUUGAGGGGGGCUGCUCCUAGUACGAGAGGACCGGAGUGGACGCAUCCCUGGUGUUCGGGUUGUCAUGCCAAUGGCACUGCCCGGUAGCUAAAUGCGGAAGAGAUAAGUGCUGAAAGCAUCUAAGCACGAAACUUGCCCCGAGAUGAGUUCUCCCUGACUCCUUGAGAG